CCGCGGGAUUUGGCUCAGAAUCACGCUGGCGGCGUGCCCAACUACAUGCAAGUCGCACGAGAAAGGGACUUCGGUCCUGAGUACAGUGGCGCACGGGUGAGUAACACGUGAAUAAUCUACCUCCGAGUGGGGAAUAACUGAGAGAAAUCUUAGCUAAUACCGCAUAACACUUACGAGUCAAAGCAGCAAUGCGCUUGGAGAGGAGUUCGCGGCAGAUUAGUUAGUUGGCGGGGUAAUGGCCCACCAAGACGAUGAUCUGUAUCCGGCCUGAGAGGGCGCACGGACACACUGGAACUGAAAUACGGUCCAGACUCCUACGGGAGGCAGCAGUGGGGAAUUUUGCGCAAUGGGGGAAACCCUGACGCAGCAACGCCGCGUGGAGGAUGAAAUCCCUUGGGAUGUAAACUCCUUUCGAUCGGGAAGAUGAUGACGGUACCGAGAGAAGAAGCCCCGGCUAACUUCGUGCCAGCAGCCGCGGUAAUACGAGGGGGGCAAGCGUUGUUCGGAAUUAUUGGGCGUAAAGGGUGCGUAGGCGGUUUGAUAAGUCACAUGUGAAAUCUUCGGGCUCAACCCGAAGUCUGCAUGCGAAACUGUCGGGCUUGAGUAUGGGAGAGGUGAGUGGAAUUUCCGGUGUAGCGGUGAAAUGCGUAGAUAUCGGAAGGAACACCUGUGGCGAAAGCGGCUCACUGGACCAUAACUGACGCUGAUGCACGAAAGCUAGGGGAGCAAACAGGAUUAGAUACCCUGGUAGUCCUAGCCCUAAACGAUGAUUGCUUGAUGUGGUGGGUACCCAAUCCCGCCGUGUCGAAGCUAACGCGAUAAGCAAUCCGCCUGGGGAGUACGGUCGCAAGGCU
rnacentral:rRNA from 1 species